rnacentral:misc_RNA from 1 species
GAUGAAGAACGCAGCGAAAUGCGAUACGUAAUGUGAAUUGCAGAAUUCAGUGAAUCAUCGAGUCUUUGAACGCACAUUGCGCCCCUUGGUAUUCCGGGGGGCAUGCCUGUUCGAGCGUCAUUAUAACCCCUCAAGCUCAGCUUGGUGUUGGGGCCUGCCGACUGGCAGCCCUUAAAAUCAGUGGCGGCGCCAUCUGGCUCUAAGCGUAGUAAUUUCUCUCGCUAUAGAGUCCCGGUGGAUGCUUGCCAGCAACCCCCAACUUUCUAUGGUUGACCUCGGAUCAGGUAGGGAUACCCGCUGAACUUAAGCAUAUCAAUAAGCGGAGGA